UUGGCUGAACCAUCAGCUGCAACAAAACAACUCCAAGUUUUACAAAUUUCAUCUCCAAAUCUUGCUCAAACCUUCACCAAAUUCAACCAAAAUUUAACUACACUUAGCUCAACACUUGGGAAGUUCAUCUAACUACAAAAACAAGGAGCUUUCCACGGAUUUCUUGGAGCUUCUAAGGACCGAAAAUCCUGCCUAGUUCAUCAACCAAAGUAGGCGCACACAAGAGGAACUUCAAGAGGAUCCCACGGUGGACGCUUGAACUUCGAGUGCCGUUUCUUCUUGUUUACUUGGAGCUGAAAUGGAAGGAAUUGUGGAGAGGACGAUUUGAUGGCCCUUUUGAUUAGAAUUUUGAAUGUAUUCGUUUAGACAACUUUUGGAAGCUGUAUAUUUUAGUAAUUUAAGAUAUUUUGGUAACUUAUGAUGUAAGACUUGAACGAUUAUUAAGGAAUUGACUUUCCUUUA